UUUUUGAUAAUAAUUAAAAGUAGGGCCUGCCCMCUGAAAAUUUUGAAGGGCCGCAGUAUUUUGACUGUGCAAAGGUAGCAUAAUCAUUAGUUUUUUAAUUGAAAGCUUGUAUGAAUGGUUUGAUGAGAAAAUUACUUUCUAAGUUUAAAUUUUUAAAAAUUUUAUUUUUAAGUUAAAAAGCUUAAAUAUCAUUAAAAGACGAGAAGACCCUAUAGAGUUUAAUUUAAGAAAAAUUUUAAAUUUUUAGAAUUUUAAUUUUAUAAUUUUAAUUAAAUUUGAUUGGGGUGAUAAAAAAAUUAAAUAAACUUUUUUUUAUAAUAACAUUAAUAAAUGAUUAAUUGAUCCAUAAAAAUGAUUAUAAGAAUAAAUUACCUUAGGGAUAACAGCGUAAUUUUUUUUUAGAGUUCUUAUCGAAAAAAAAGAUUGCGACCUCGAUGUUGGAUUAAAAUUAAAUUUAGGUGUAGAAGCUUAAAUUUUUGGUCUGUUCGACCAUUAAAAUUUUACA
rnacentral:rRNA from 1 species